rnacentral:lncRNA from 1 species
GCCUGUAAUUCAGUGGUUGUCGUUUGUUUAUGUGUUACAUAUUUGUUUUUCGUUCAUUUUUUUACAUAAAUAAGGCCGUUAGUUUUCUCGUUUAAAUUGUUUUACAUUGUCUUAUGGGGGUCUAUUAUAGCUGACUAUGCGGUAUGGGCUUUGCUCAUUGUUGAAGGCCGUACGGUGACCUAUAGUUAUUAAUGUCUGUGUCAUUUUGGUCUUUUGUGGAUAGUUGUCUCAUUGGCAAUCAUACCACAUCUUCUUUUUUUAUAU